CUAAGCCUUGCUCUAGGGAAUCUGACACCCUCCUUUAAGCCUUUUCAGGUACCUUCACACGGACAGGCACAGAAGAGAGAGUGACAGAGAGAGAGAGAGAGAGAGAGAGAGAAGAGAGAGAGAGAGAGAGAGAGAGAGAGAGAGAGAAACAGACAGAUUCAGAAGAAUAGAGAAAAUGAUAAUAAUAAUAAUAAUAAUAAUAAUAAUAAUAAUAAUAAUAAUAAUC
rnacentral:lncRNA from 1 species